UGAAUGACUCGACAGCAACAGCAACAACCAAACAGAUGCUUAAUUCUUUGAACGUCAUGUGGAAAUUCAGGAAGAGCAAUAAUUCAGAGACUUCUCACAGGGGCCAGCGCCAUAUUGUGUAUAGGGCUAUCAAGGCACCAACAUCCAGGGAAGGAGGACUUAAAAAUGAAGCCUCUUGGGGGCCUGCUCUCCACAGGCAAGAGAAAAAUCAAGAUUUGAGAUAGCUGCCCGGAUCGUUCAGGCAAAGCUCCAACUCUCACUGACCUCGUCAAAGCCUUCUGUUGUAUUUCUGAACAGCAUGGGCCUAGUGUUCCUGAAGUCACAUCUUAAUAAACAGAUCAAGGUUAAUCAUCUCCUAAA